ensembl:lncRNA
AUUUUUUUUUGCAACUAGAGGGGGAAGCACAGAGCUAAAAAUAAAACGAAAAGAUCAGUAUCUGUCAGUCUGACAGCUGAUUGGCUGCUCGGAGAUGCAUAUAAUUACCAGCAACUGGCGCUGGGUAGGCAAAGCCGGGAGAAACUGCUGAGACGAGUGAUGGCUGCAAGGACACAAGUAGCUUUGCCUCCUGGAGACACAGAAAAAUUCCAUGACCCGUGUGAACCCAUGUCGGGGAAGACUGAAGUGGGGUGUAAACUCAGGAUGGAUAAAUGCCAAAGAUACAGUAAAUAGGUGAGAUGAAAUAUUUAUUUUGUAUGCAUUAGCAAUAUGAGGGGGGCUUCCCUGGUGGUCCAGUGGUUAAGAAUUGACCCUCCACUGCAUGGGGCACGAAUUGGAUCCCUGGUCUGGGAAGAUCUCACAUGCCGCAGAGCAACUAAGCCCCAUGCACCGCAACUACUGAGCCCACGUGCUGCAACUGAGGUAUGAAGCCCGCACCCCUUAGAGGCUGUGCUCUGCAACAAGAGAGGCCACCGCAGGGAGAAGCCCACACCACGGCAGAGCAGCGCAUUGUUGCCGCAGUGAAGAUCACGCAGCAAUGAAGACCCAGCGCAGCCAUAAAUAAAAUAACAGGUAAAAUUCUAAAAUACAAAGAACAUGAGGAGUCAGGGUGAGCCGAGGGGGUCUUUGGUUUUGCCCCAGUCUCAUGCUGGGAAAAAGGGUCCCAUCUCUGGUGGUGGCCUAGUGGUGAGGAGCAGGCACUGGUUGCUCGAGUCACCAUGUCUGUUAUUAACUCUGUGACCAGGCAAGUGACUUCACGGCCCUGUCUCCCGUCUGUGAAAUGGGGUGAUAAUGGCCAACUCCUCCGGUUAUGAUAAGGCUUCAGAAGGUUCUGGAAUGCUUUAUCCUGGCAAAGCUGAUGGUGGAUCACCAAGGUGGUGGCACCCUAGGUUCAAAGAAGUGCCUUCGUAGAAGUGCCAUUGCCUGGAAAGAUCUUUGCCCUGUGACUGAGCAUGGACCGAGAGCCACAGAGCAGAUAGUCUCUGCUGCUGGGGACCCCUGUAUGGGCGACCCCAGGGGCUGGAAGGAGCUCAGCCCUUGCUUCUGCUGGGGGCAUGUGUGGGCAUGGAGCUGGCCCAGCCCUUUCCUGUCCUGUCCCAGCAUGAUUUCAACAGAGGGAGCGUCCUGGGCGUGUUUCCCCCUCGGAAAUCUCACCCCGCUGAGGUGGGAUUUGGGGAGCUCUGGCUCAAUUUGCUGCCCCAACCAACAGGCCAGGCUUAGAGAUGCUCAGAAACCAGAGUGGGGAUACAAGUUCCUGACCCACAGCCUGGGCCUGGCCUGGUGGAAGGUCUUUGGCUCAGGCCGGCCUGACAGCCCUUGACUCCAUCCUUCAGGGCUGUAUGACUCCAGACAAGUGUCUCCGCCUCUCAGGCCCUCAGUUUCCCCAUCCCUAAAGUCUCAGGCUGGGCCUGCCUGCCCACUCUAGGAACCUGGGGUUUCCCAGGAGGACACAGAGCUUAUGUAGAUGUGCAUGGGGAAGUCCCAGGCCACCCGCUUCCUUUCCAAUCAAGAGAGCUCCAUUUUCAUCUCUGGUAUAUUGAUGAUUUAAGUAGCACUUCAUUUUU